rnacentral:rRNA from 1 species
CGGACCUGACUGCUAUCGGAUUGAUACUAAGCCAUGCGAGUCAUUGUAGCAAUACAAGGCAUACGGCUCAGUAACGCGUAGUCAACCUAACCUAUGGACGGGAAUAACCUCGGGAAACUGAGAAUAAUGCCCGAUAGAACAUUAUGCCUGGAAUGGUUUAUGUUCCAAAUGAUUUAUCGCCGUAGGAUGGGACUGCGGCCUAUCAGUUUGUUGGUGAGGUAAUGGCCUACCAAGACUAUUACAGGUACGGGCUCUGAGAGGAGUAGCCCGGAGAUGGGUACUGAGACACGGACCCAGGCCCUAUGGGGCGCAGCAGGCGAGAAAACUUUGCAAUGUGCGAAAGCACGACAAGGUUAAUCCGAGUGGUUUCUGCUAAAGGAACCUUUUGUCAGUCCUAGAAACACUGAUGAAUAAGGGGUGGGCAAGUUCUGGUGUCAGCCGCCGCGGUAAAACCAGCACCUCAAGUGGUCAGGAUGAUUAUUGGGCCUAAAGCAUCCGUAGCCGGCUCUGUAAGUUUUCGGUUAAAUCUGUACGCUCAACGUACAGGCUGCCGGGAAUACUGCAAAGCUAGGGAGUGGGAGAGGUAGACGGUACUCGGUAGGAAGGGGUAAAAUCCUUUGAUCUAUUGAUGACCACCUGUGGCGAAGGCGGUCUACCAGAACACGUCCGACGGUGAGGGAUGAAAGCUGGGGGAGCAAACCGGAUUAGAUACCCGGGUAGUCCCAGCUGUAAACCAUGCAAACUCAGUGAUGCAUUGGCUUGUGGCCAAUGCAGUGCUGCAGGGAAGCCGUUAAGUUUGCCGCCUGGGAAGUACGUACGCAAGUAUGAAACUUAAAGGAAUUGGCGGGG